rnacentral:rRNA from 1 species
GACGAACGCUGGCGGCGUGCCUAAUACAUGCAAGUCGAGCGGACAGACGGGAGCUUGCUCCCUGAUGUUAGCGGCGGACGGGUGAGUAACACGUGGGUAACCUGCCUGUAAGACUGGGAUAACUCCGGGAAACCGGGGCUAAUACCGGAUGGUUGUCUGAACCGCAUGGUUCAGACAUAAAAGGUGGCUUCGGCUACCACUUACAGAUGGACCCGCGGCGCAUUAGCUAGUUGGUGAGGUAACGGCUCACCAAGGCAACGAUGCGUAGCCGACCUGAGAGGGUGAUCGGCCACACUGGGACUGAGACACGGCCCAGACUCCUACGGGAGGCAGCAGUAGGGAAUCUUCCGCAAUGGACGAAAGUCUGACGGAGCAACGCCGCGUGAGUGAUGAAGGUUUUCGGAUCGUAAAGCUCUGUUGUUAGGGAAGAGCAAGUGCCGUUCAAAUAGGGCGGCACCUUGACGGUACCUAACCAGAAAGCCACGGCUAACUACGUG